UACUCUUUCAGAAAUACCCUUAUCUUUAAACUCAAGCACAUUCUCAACAAAUAUAAUCAAGGGUUUUUCUUAAUCAAUGUGAAAGUUAUUAAUCAAUGCGAAAGUAGUUAAUCAAUGACACUAUGGAAACAAGAAUAUUAAAUGAACUUAACCACUAUUUUCUUAAUCAAUGUGAAAGUAGUUAAUUUUGCUUAAAAUUUAGUCCAAAUGUAGUAUCUACUUUAAAAACAUUAACAUACUCCAUAAUUGGAAAACGAAGAAAAAAAGGAAGAGAAAUAGUGUACUAGAACAAUAAGUUAAUGACAAAUGGAGAUAAAAUUUAAAAUCCGGAAAAGAUGAGGAAAACAAUAGAGUGAGUAAUAAUAAUUUCAAAGGAGCAUAUUUUGUGAG
rnacentral:lncRNA from 1 species